rnacentral:rRNA from 1 species
GUCGUGAGACAGUUCGGUCCCUAUCUACCGUGGGCGCUGGAAAUUUGAGAGGAUCUGCUCCUAGUACGAGAGGACCAGAGUGGACGAACCUCUGGUGUACCGGUUGUGACGCCAGUCGCAUCGCCGGGUAGCUAUGUUCGGAAGGGAUAACCGCUGAAAGCAUCUAAGCGGGAAGCCUACCUCAAGAUAAGAUUUCCCUAGGACUUUAUGUCCUCUAAAGAGCCGUUCGAGACUAGGACGUUGAUAGGUUGGAUG